rnacentral:lncRNA from 10 species
CUUCCAUGUGCCAGUCAUUGUUCAAAGCACUUUACACAUGUAAUAUUUUAAAAUUCUCAAAAUAACCAUAUGAGAUAGGUGUUAUUACUAUCCCCAUCCUCAGGAUCGAGGAAAGGGAGGCAACAGAAAAGUAACUUGCCCAAAGAGGUACCAAGCAAGGUUCACUUUCAAGCCUUAUGCUUUACUGUCAAGUUGGUUACAGGGCUGACUGGAAUACUGUAACUUCUAAUUCUCAGGCCUGAGCACUUUCCUGCUCAUCAAUUCCUGUUUCACGACUUAAAUUCAAGCACGAGGGCAAGAACGAUGUCU